CUUUUUUGCAGUUCCUGAAAAUUUUACAAUUGUUGCCCAGGCAAAGUUUCCGGUUUGUAUGGAGGAGUUCUUUAAUCUUUUCAUCUCUGACCAAGCUUAUAAUUUUGUGGAGUGCUUCCAUAAAAAUUGUGGCGAUAAAGACUUUCAAUGCUCUUCUUGGCGUCGACAUGAACAAUUUGGAUACAUUCGUGAUUUGUCAUUUUUACAUCCGGUCAAGAUAUAUAUUGG